UACGUAGGGUGCAAGCGUUGUCCGGAAUUAUUGGGCGUAAAGAGCUCGUAGGCGGUUUGUCGCGUCUGCUGUGAAAUCUUAGGGCUUAACCCUGAGCUUGCAGUGGGUACGGGCAGACUUGAGUUCGGUAGGGGAGACUGGAAUUCCUGGUGUAGCGGUGAAAUGCGCAGAUAUCAGGAGGAACACCAGCGGCGAAGGCGGCGCUCUGGGCCGGUACUGACACUGAGGAGCGAAAGCGUGGGUAGCAAACAGG
rnacentral:rRNA from 1 species